GGAAGCUCUGCACCCUUUCCUUGUUCCUUGCCCUGUGCAUUUCUUCCAUCUGGCUGUUAAUAAACUAGCAAUCUAGACUACCGGCUCUCUCUCCUUUACAAGCGCCUGAUCAGCCCCAAAGUUUUCGCUGUGCACGUGGCUGGGCUCCAGGGGAAGCCAUGGCCAGGCCGAGUGAUCUGGAACAAACUAAGAAUUUAUGCUCACUGCACAAAGUACAACAACUAUGAUCAUGGACCCAUUAUACUUUUUAUCAGCAACCUGCACCAAUCAAGAGAGAAAAUCAAACUGGUCAGGACAAGCUUGUACACCAGUAUCUGCUGCAGCCCUGGGGACAGGAGGGUCUGAAGUCCCAUCUCCUCUCUUUAACAACAAUAAAGGAAGGUAUUGGAGUGUCCAACCAGCCACAUCAGAACUCCUAGACUGACCGAGUAUAAGUCAACAAGCAUUAACGUGAACUACCAUCAAAGAGCAGAAGUUGCCAGGCACAGAUCACCUCUGUUUCUUCUAACUCUCCCACGCUCACCCACCCCCAAUGUCUUUCCCUGUUCUGGAAAAGUGUGAAAGAGCAGGAUACAUCCUAGGCUGCUGGACAUAGGCCCAAUUAUUCUCUGGAACAAGGAGUCCACCCCUGAUGGUGAAAGCCAGGGCUGGCCUGGUGGCCAAGUGGUUAAAGUUCCACGCCCUCCACUUUGGUGGCUCAGCUUCACGGAUUUGGAUCCCAGGUGUGGACCUACUCUACUCUUCAGCCAUGCUGUGGAGGCAUCCCACAUACAAAAUAGAAGAAGAUUGGUGCAGAUGUUAACUCAGGGCUAAUCUUCCUCAAGCAAAAAAGUAGAAGAAGAGGAUUGGCAAUGGAUGUUAGCUCAGGG
rnacentral:lncRNA from 1 species